rnacentral:sRNA from 1 species
CUUGGUCAUUUAGAGGAAGUAAAAGUCGUAACAAGGUUUCCGUAGGUGAACCUGCGGAAGGAUCAUUACAGAGAACAAUGCCCUCUGGGUAUAUCUCCCACCCAAUGUUUACAUUACCUUUUGUUGCUUUGGCGGGCCCGCCUUAUGACCACCGGCUCAGGCUGGUCAGCGCCCGCCAGAGGACCACCAAACUCCAUCAAUAUGUCGUCUGAGUACUAUAUAAAUAGUUAAAACUUUCAACAACGGAUCUCUUGGUUCUGGCAUCGAUGAAGAACGCAGCGAAAUGCGAUAAGUAAUGUGAAUUGCAGAAUUCAGUGAAUCAUCGAAUCUUUGAACGCACAUUGCACCCUCUGGUAUUCCGGAGGGUAUGCCUGUUCGAGCGUCAUUUCAACCCUCAAGCGCUGCUUGGUAUUGGAUGCUACCCUUACGAGUACAUCCUAAAGACAUUGGCGGCGGCCCUUGGCUUCUAGCGUAGUACAAUUCUCGCUAUGGAGUCCUAGGUGCAUGCCUGCCAGAACCCCAAUUUUAUCAAUGGUUGACCUCGGAUCAGGUAGGGAUACCCGCUGAACUUAAGCAUAUCAAUAAGCGGAGGAA